ACACGGAAUGGGAAUGUAUAAAUGCCAUAUACCGUAUGUAUGGUAUGUAUCGAGAAAUCUUCCCUCAAUUUAUUAAACAAAACAAACAAAUUCUGGCACUGAUUGGCUUAACGGUUUACAGUGAAACAGACUCGUCCGAAUCACACGACGCGGAUAUUAAUCAGCCUACCGUGGCGUAUUCUGCUCGCAUUACUUGACGUUGGAAAGCAUUGUAAUCCAAAAGAUCGCUGAUAAUGCGAAAUAAAUUUCAAGCCGCUCUUAGGGGCGUAACGCGACAAUACAUUAUAAGACAGUCGUGGCCCCGUGGCAGAGAGAUAUUUAGGACGCAACUGAUAAUACACGCAUCUUCUACUAGCCCAUUCACCUGUAGGAACUACUCAAAGUUUAGCACACAUCUGUCUAUGGAGCGGGCGAUGGAGCUGCUAUGCAACCUUGAUGACGAGGAACGCAGCAACCUGCGCUCCGCUCUUGGCAGGCUGGAUGCCGACAAGGAAAAAAAAUUAUACGAGAGUUAGAGGCCAAUCUUCGACGUUCGGAAGUCACAAACGCACGUGUCUGUUGUUGUCCCACAUUAUUAGUUUGGUAGUGUGAAAUCACGUAGUCACUGCGUGAUUUGGCCUUACGCUGGAAAGUUCGCCUCUGCUUGUGUUCGAAUAUGUUAAGCGUGCGUUUGCCCGACGGUUCUCGCCUUAAGCUUUUCUGAAACUCCUUGACUCCGGUGCGUGUUGAAUAUCAUUAAUAU
rnacentral:sRNA from 13 species